UACGGAGGGUGCAAGCGUUAAUCGGAAUUACUGGGCGUAAAGCGCACGCAGGUGGCUAAGUCAGUCGAUUGUGAAAGCCCUGGGCUUAACCUGGGAAUUGCAGUCGAUACUACUUAGCUAGAGUAUGGGAGAGGGCAGUGGAAUUCCCGGUGUAGCGGUGAAAUGCGUAGAUAUCGGGAGGAACAUCAGUGGCGAAGGCGGCUGCCUGGCCCAAUACUGACACUCAGGUGCGACAGCGUGGGGAGCAAACAGG
rnacentral:rRNA from 2 species